CACAAGAUGCCUAUGUCCAGAGACCUCAUGACUCUGUGAGCUCUUCCCAGGCAUCUCUCAAUCUCAAAGGCAGAGGACCCAGAGACAUGAAUACCUCCUUGAGUUCUAUGCUUUCACCAUAUAGUGAUACACUUCUGAU